rnacentral:rRNA from 1 species
UCAAAUCUUCACACAUCUCGCAGCGAAAGCGCGAUGACCGUAAUCCCAAGUGUAUGCACGUAAGAAAAAAACGGUUUCUUUGUUAAAAAAGCAUAGAGAGAAAGAGCUGGGAAGACGGGGGCCAGCCCCCGCGGUAAUACCUGCAGCUCAAGUGGGGAUCGUUCUUUUGGGCCUAAAACGUUCGUGGCCGGUUUAAUAAAUGCCUGGGUAAAUCGGGCCGUUCAACGGUACGAAUUCCGGGUAGACUGUUAAACUUGAGACCGGGGGAGGCUAGAGGUACUCCUGGGGUAAAGGUGAAAUUCUGUAAUCCUAGGGGGACCACCAGUGGGGAAGGCGUCUAGUUAAAACGGGUCUGACGGUGAGGGAGAAAGCCUUGGGGGCGCAAACCGGAAUAAAAAACCCGGGUAGUCCAGGUGGGAAACGCCUGUUUGCUUCUUUUUUAUCCGGGUUCCGAGCCCGAUUAGUUUGGGAGAAAAGUUUUUUAAAGAACGCUGCCUGGAAAGUACGUUCGCAAGAUUGAAAACUAAAGGAUUGGCGGGGGAAAGGGCCAAUUCUUUUUAACCUGCAGGACAGGCCUUUUAUGGGGGUUAUUUUGAGGCUCGCCGAACCAUGGCAAGCUGUUCCGGGA